GGGCGCAUAGCUCAAUUGGUAGAGCGCCCGCUUUGCAUGCGGGAGGUAGGGGGAUCGAAACCCUCUGUGUCCA
rnacentral:tRNA from 1 species